rnacentral:rRNA from 1 species
UACGAAGGGGGCUAGCGUUGCUCGGAAUCACUGGGCGUAAAGCGCACGUAGGCGGCUUUUUAAGUCAGGGGUGAAAUCCUGGAGCUCAACUCUAGAACUGCCUUUGAUACUGGGAAGCUUGAGUCCGGGAGAGGUGAGUGGAACUGCGAGUGUAGAGGUGAAAUUCGUAGAUAUUCGCAAGAACACCAGUGGCGAAGGCGGCUCACUGGCCCGGUACUGACGCUGAGGUGCGAAAGCGUGGGGAGCAAACAGG